UCGGUCGUCGGUCGGUCGUCGGUCGGGGUGGUGGUCCGCGCUGCCGUCCACCCCAAUUAAUUCGGUGGUGCGGUUCGGGUUAGUGCAGUCCCUCGUGCGAUCAAUUAGUGCCCUACUGGACAUGCUACGGGGUUAAAAGUGAUGAAGUGUUUUCUCCAACGUGACUUUGAUGGACAAAUCCUGAAGUGUGAUGACCCAACCAACCAUUGGAGAGACGAUAAGGCAACAGGGAAAGGGCAUUAAAGGUAGGUCCAGAACGAGACUAGUUAACUGGGCAACUGGCAACGCAAAGUAAGUUUUUGAACAUGAUAUUUCCGGUUCUCCUUUCGUCCUUUCAACUUUGCCAUCGGUUCAUCAUUGCGUCCAUCAAUUACUUUAAUAAAUAUUUGCGGAAGGUAUUGUUCCACUUUCCCAAAAGGAGAGUUUUCGUAAAGCAUUGUUUAUUGUUUCAUGUGUCCUUUGAGUAAUGUACCCCGACAUUCUCUUUCAGCUUUCAUAAAUAACGAAAACUUUUAUAACUAUCUAUUCCU